GUGAGGACACGGCCCUCAGAGCAGGUCACCUCCCGUCAAGCACGGUUGCAUUAAGGAGGACACCGUUCCCAGGGCACAAAGUUCAGGGCACAUCCAAACAGCACCCUGCCGUGAAGGAAAGGCCCUGCUCCCCAGGGCUGUCCACAGACUGUUUAACCACCGCUUCACAGAUCAGGACCGUGUACUUGGAGGCUCUGGGAGCUCCAAAGUCAAGUGAACAUGGGGACUUAACUGUGCGGCCUGAAACUGUAUAGCUUGACUAGUCCAGCUUGCUCACCACAGUGGACACACACAGCUUCUGAGGUCUCGAUCUUUUUGUGUCACAAUCUCUCGACAGGAGGAAGAUGGCGGUCUGCUGAAGAAGAAAUGGCCAACGGUAGACGCCUCUUACUAUGGUGGCCGUGGUGUUAGAGGCAUCAAAAGGAUGGAGGAAGGGGUGGAGCCGAGAUUCUAGCUGCUGUUGCUGUUGAUUGGGCAAGGAGGAUAACCCCACCUGCGUCUGCGUGGAUGGAAGUCAGCAAAUCUUUCCACAGCCUCAGCCCUCCCUGCCUCUCUGCCCCAGCGUGAACUCCAGUCCCUCACGUGCUCCCGGAUGACCCACGGAGCUAGACCUUUGUUUUGUUUUUAGCUCCUUGGUUGCUCUCAGAGCUGGCACGGGGAACUGGCGGGGGGAGGGGUAGGACGUUCCAUUACUCCCUGCACACAGCACACUCUGAGCUUGUUUUGAAGACUAGGAACUCCUUGCAAUCAGAAGAGAAAAUGCACCUGUAAAUGCACAUAAACAGUGCGCGCUGCUCAUCCAGCCCUGGAGGCUGAGCAAUCGGAGCUCCGGCCUCGGGGCUGUCUCUGCAGAGCUGUUUGCAACAAGGGACCAGGGUUGGCCAUGUGGGCACUGUGUGACGUCACAGAGAACAGAAUGGGCUGGGUAGGUGUCCCCUGGAGGAGUGUCCUUAGCCUGCCUCCCCCAUAGCAGAUGCUCUGCCUUUGGUGUGCACUGACAUGGGGACGCCUGCCUACUUGGGUCUCUUGUCUCUUCACCUUCUUGUGGCCUCCAUUCUCCAUUUCUCGCCUUCCUGUUUUCUUUUUUUUAAAUCGUUUCCUUCACUUCCGAUUUCUGUUGCUUUUUGUGGCUCUUUUCUCUCAACCAACAACAGCUGUACUCCCACUAAGGACCCAUUUCCCGGAUGAACAUCAUGAGUAUGAUGCCCUGUAGAACAGUACUUCCUUCUGGCAUCUGGAGUUCGGGGUCUGUUCACUGCCUUCCCUGCAAAUGGUUACAGGAGCACAAAGCCAGGGCUGGUGGUGUGGAGCACCUGUGACAUCUAUUCUCAGGGCAGAAGCUACGGCUCAGCAGGGGCUCACCUCUCUGCAGGCAGAGCUGGAAAGAAGAGGACCUGGGGGACGAAUUUAGGCCAUCUAGAUUUGACCAUCCCCUCAGGGGGUCCUGAGUUCCUGCCUCACUCAGCAGUUAAGCCCCUUCAGUGAGUUGAGCCCUGGGGUGCUGGUGACACACACUGAGUAGGGAGCAGGGACAAACAGGCAGGUCCAGAGCACAGGGUGGUGGAAAAGGCUCUGGGGUGUGGCUGGAACUCCCAGGAAAGCUUGUUGUCUGAAAUGGAGUCGAAAGUGGCUGCUGGGCUGGAGAGAUGGCUUAGAGGUUAAGAGCAGUGACUGCUCUUUCAGAGGACCUGAGUUCAAUUCCCAGCACCCAUAUGGCAGCUCACAACUGUCUGUAAUAACUCCUCACACAGACAUACACAGUCAAACACCGAUGUACAUAAAAAAAUUUUUUUCAGUGCAAAAAUGGCUGCUAAAAGUGACAUCUGAGGGGCAUGAGAGGGAUUCUCAGGCAAAGAGCUUCAAGUCAGACUUGAAGGAGAUGCCAGGUACAGUGGAGGAGAGUGAUCCAUGUAAGUUAACGGUCACAGGUCGAUUCCCUACUCACAUGAGUUAGGUUCACAAUUGCACUGAAGGAAGGGCACACUGCUGUGGUAUGAACAAGGAGGCAGAGACAGAUGGCAGUAAGGAGGGUUGAUCCUGAAUGUAGGAAGGACUGAGACGGUUGCUGGUUUGGGACCCUGUGGUGUGGAAAACAGAGCACCCGUGCCAAGGACUGUAAGUGUUGUCUCAAGUGGCAAUGAAAAAUGGGACCAUCCCAGACUAGAAAGAAAAACAACUGGACCUUGAAUAAGGGCUAGCUAAGAAAGAAGAACAGUCAGACAAUUAGGGCUACUAAACCUUGAGUAGAGGCCAGACCAGAUGGCCCUCCUCAGAAGACAGGAUGAGCUUAUUUUAAGAUAAGAAACCUGGGGCAGGGAGGACUGCCCUUGGAAGAAGCUGUAAGCUGCCAGCUGCAAAACUGCUAUCUUUUCUGCUGACUAGUCAAUGCAAAAGAUACAUGUGUGGCCUGACUUUUAGGUAUAAAAACUUGGUGCUUUGUAUGCUUGGGGUCGUCUCCUGCCUUGAAGGGGCGACCCCCAUCGCGAUUGGAAUAAACUGCCUCUUGCUUUUGCACUGAA